UGGGGAAUAUUGCACAAUGGGCGCAAGCCUGAUGCAGCCAUGCCGCGUGUAUGAAGAAGGCCUUCGGGUUGUAAAGUACUUUCAGCGGGGAGGAAGGGAGUAAAGUUAAUACCUUUGCUCAUUGACGUUACCCGCAGAAGAAGCACCGGCUAACUCCGUGCCAGCAGCCGCGGUAAUACGGAGGGUGCAAGCGUUAAUCGGAAUUACUGGGCGUAAAGCGCACGCAGGCGGUCUGUCAAGUCGGAUGUGAAAUCCCCGGGCUCAACCUGGGAACUGCAUUCGAAACUGGCAGGCUAGAGUCUUGUAGAGGGGGGUAGAAUUCCAGGUGUAGCGGUGAAAUGCGUAGAGAUCUGGAGGAAUACCGGUGGCGAAGGCGGCCCCCUGGACAAAGACUGACGCUCAGGUGUGAAAGCGUGGGGAGCAAACAGG
rnacentral:rRNA from 1 species